AUUGAACGCUGGCGGCAGGCCUAACACAUGCAAGUCGAGCGAGCGGCGGACGGGUGAGUAAUGUAUGGGGACUGCCCGUUAGAGGGGGAUAACUACUGGAAAAGGUGGCUAAUACCCCAUACUAUCGGAUAACCCAUAUGGGAUUAGCUAGUGGUGGGGGUAAAGGCUCACCUAGGCGAUGAUCUCUAGCUGGUCUGAGAGGAGGAUCUGCCACACUGGACCUGGAACACGGCCCAGACUCUUACGGAGGCAGCAGUGGGGAUUAUUGCACAAUGGGCGCAGUCCUGAUGCAGCCAUGCCGCGUGUAUGAAGAAGGCCUUAGGGUUGUAAAGUACUUUCAGCGGGGAGACGUUACCCGCAUAAGAAGCACCGGCUAACUCCGUGCCAGCAGCCGCGGUAAUUC
rnacentral:rRNA from 1 species